CAUGCUGGGAGUUGUAGUUUUGCAAAAGCUGGAGGCUCCCUGCUUGGGGAAACACUGACAUACAGUGAUUUACAGCUCCCAGCAGAUCUUUCUUUUAUAUGUAAGGAUUUGCUUUAUUUAUAUUAGUUAUCUACUUAUUUUUCUUUAGUCCUCACUUUUUCCUAUUUUUGGAUGACAUUUUGGUGGCUUCAGAACCAAUUACCAGGUUUCCAUAGAGUUAUGGUCUCAACAUACAAUGGUUUUCCCGGAACCAAUUAAUAUUGUAACUUGAGGGACCACUGUAUAAACUAAGGAAACCGAAUCGUCCACCUUGUAUUAUGGAGCUUAUCUAAUUUAUUGGGGUAUGUGUAUUGACUCGCUUGUUGGCGGUUACCAACAACAAUGAGCAGAAUUGUGAAUGCAGCUCUGGAGUAAAAUAAAGGCUGUACAGGAUUAGUACAAGAUCGGUAAUGCAGUGUAUUUACAAAGUUCCUCAGCUUUUUCUGUAUCUAGAUAUGAAGUGUAAAAUGGUGGCCAAAGGUUGGAGUACACUGCAAGAAGGUUGUAUUUUUAUACAGUAUCAUUGAACGAACAGGUUGUGUCUCUGAGGUGAAAAUUCACAAUGCAUCGAUUGGAUUUAUUUGCAAAUGACAAGGCUCCAUGGUUGUUACAGCUAUCUGAUCUAUUUGUUUUAAUAUGUUUUAUACCUUUUACUUGUCCUAUUCAUUUUCAUUUUGAUUUGCAUGACCAGGAGGCUCGUGAACAGAACUGCUUUGAAUAUAGCUUGAAUACUUGUAACUCGAGUAUCAGACCAUUGCCAAGAAAAUGAAUGGAACAGAAUGCACAAGACUAUCCUUCCUCCAGCAAUAAAUCAUGCAAUGCUCUUAAUGGCAGCAGUGAGUGAUAAGAUCUACACAGGAAAAGAGCAGCAUUAUGUGCCGAGGAGACUGAGGAAAUCUUCACUGAGCUUCUUUUAGGGCAAGCUCUUCACACACGGAGGGGAGGUGUACCUGUGAAGUCAGAGCUCUAGACCAGACAGAAAUCAUGUGGUGCUGUCAUGAAGGGUGGGGGCUAGGUCAGUGAGGGUUUUACAGCAAGACAAGCAGGAUCAGAUUAUGACGUCUUUCUCUUACUCACUGCAUGUAAGUGACAGCUGAAAGAAGAAAACUGCUCUAUAUAGCUAAUGAAUGAUAAUUAGACAAAUACAUGGGUUGGUGAGAGGAAAAGGAUGGGCUAUGGGUUUAGUUUCCCGGAGUACCCCUUUAAUGUCAAAUGACAUGUCAAUUCUUUUAGUCGAGGCCGGAAUUAGAAUUUCCAAAGCAGAUGUUUUUUUGCAACGGAAAUUUUGCUCUUUUGUGGUACAGCAGAAUCCCAUUGAAAACAAUGGGACUUUGCUGCAACGGAAUUUCGGAGUGGAAUUUUUUUGCCAGAUUCUUCUUGAAUAUUCUGUUGUGUGAACAAGGCGCAGGGCUUCAUGUUCACUUUUAAAUAUACCUUGUUACUGUGGUAUAUGUUGAAAAGCUAGCCAGCCACUAUAUCACCCCAGAUCCGUUGAUUUCAAUAUACUGAAAUCUCUCAAAGGGGGAGACAUAAAACCUGUGUAGAAGGAGUGGUGCAGUUGCCCAUAGCAACCAUUCAGAUCGCUUCUUUCAUUUUUAGAAUGGCCUCUGAAAGAUGAGAAAAGCAAUCUGAUUAAUUGCUAUGGGCAACUGCACCACUCUUCCACUGUUUUAGAUAAAUCUCCCUAAAAGUGACCACCUUUCAUACAUUUGCAUGCAUAAGUUGUGUUUUUGCAGGACUCAGAAGCACAGGCGGUCACAUUUUUUUGAGUCUCCCCAAAAAACAUAUACACUAAGGGUUGCAUAAGGGUACACUAAGGGUAACGUAUACACGUAACGGAUCCGCUGAUGACGGACCAUUAAGUGUGUCUACUUCUGUGCCUUCAUUGUCUGCUCGAGCAGAUACACAGGGACGUGCGAGUUGCACGCGCAGUGUACUCCGACAUCACACCUAGCUCAGGGAGCAGGGGGAGCGACCGCGAUGUCUGUGAGUAAACUGCCCGCGCGUCCCUGUGUGUCUGCUUGUAGCAGUGGAUUCCUGCUACGAGCAGAAAAGCAGGCACAGCAGGAGGCACAAUCUAGGGUUUCUCAUCGGUGGAUGUGCAUCGUAAAAUAUGCUGCAGAUCUGUUACGUAUGAUCCUAGGGGAGAUUUAUCAAAACCUAUGCAGAGGAAAAGUUGACCAGUUGCCCAUAGCAACCAAUCAGAUUGCUUCUUUUAUUUUUCAGAGGCCUUUUCAAAAAUAAAAUAAGCAAUCUGAUUGGUUGCUAUGGGCAACUGGUCAACUUUUCAGCACAGGUCUUGAUGAAUCUCCCCGUAAGGGCCCUAGUACACAGGGCGAUUAUUGGUAGAACAGACUUCUGUGCCCUCUGGAUAGUGCUAGUGAUCAGCUGACCUGGUUAUUUCGACAUACCGAAAAAUCAUCAGCCGUCGGCCUCCCUGUGUAAAAGGGCUAGUGUGGCGGACCGCACGACUAAUGAAGCCUUGUGAAAGCUCUGUAAAUGAAGGCUGAUUAACGUGAUUGGUGCUUGUUUACACACAAUCUCGUUUAAUAGGGCCCAUGGAAAUGGACCAAAUGUUGUCACAUUUAUAAGAUAUUUGGUACAUGGAAAUCAAUUGAUCUUUUGGGGUACAUUUGCACACCAGACAAUUUUUUGACGUAUACCACAAGUGUAGGUUUUAUUUGUGAACUUAGCCUUAAAGUGUUUACGCUGUUUUGUGUGGUGAUGAAAAUAAUAGUGGAUAUGGACAGAAACAAUAUUCAUGAGAAUGCAGCUUACAGCGUGGCCUGUUUGCUGACUGGGAUCGGUUCUGUUCAGUAUGACUAUAUACGUAAUAACUAUAUUUUGUAGUACAUUUAUUUUUGACUACGCAAUAAAUAUUAUAUAAAAUUGAUGAUGUGCAUUAAUAAUCGUGUUACAAUAAACAUAUUUGUUGAAGCA